GAGAGUGUGCAAGAGUGCUGACUGGAGUCCGUGGAGCUGCUCCAGCAACCCCAACCUGGGGGCCGGGAGAAGGAAUGGAGAAAUGCCCUCUCUCAGAAGCCUGGGCGGCUGAGAACCCCCCCCCCGGAGCCCCAUCUUUCCAGGCCACCUGUGGGAGCCGGUCACAACUCACAGGUUGGGGAGCGGAGGGGGCAGGCUGCACCCCAAAACUUUGACUUAGAGGAAACAGAGACAUGGGGGCCUGAGAAGUGAUGGACACCAGCCACCAAGGACAAGGGAAGCCGCCAGUCCAUGGCGCCUGACCCCCAGGCCCCGCAAGAAGCAGCAACACGUCCUUGGAGGAGGGCUCUGACGCCCAGCACCUACACCUCCAGACGCCCAGUGCAGACAGUAACACGGCUGCUCAGGGGGCCAGGCUGAAAUGAGCUGCAGCACAAGCCACUGGUACAAGCCUGAGUCCCGUUCCCAGGCCUGCCCUCCCCUUCCCUGUGAAACCCCUGACAUCCAGGGAAGCUCUGAAGACCUGAAUCUGCCAUUUCCCCAGGUAGCCAGUACCUGAUUCAACUCCACCACCUCUCCCAAGUCCUUGCCCCUUGAAUACUGGUUAUCAAAUGACAAGCGCCGAACUCUAGCACUUGGUAAGAAGGGUUUGCCUCCUCAGAAAGAGGGGAAGAGACCAGGGUGGACACACACACACACACACAAACACACGAGGAGAGGGCUGGUGGAUAGACGUCGAGAGAAGAGGGAAAGCAAGAAAGCAGCCAACACCUGGUUCUCAUUUUAUUGAUUUUUUUUAUUGAAAUUGAAUACUUCGUAUUACAGUAAAUUUGAUUGAAAAAAAUA